rnacentral:tRNA from 1 species
AGUGGUUACGCUCGGGGAGCCGGGGACUGUAAAUUCCUUAAACUGUGGUUCGAGUCCACAAACCACUG